rnacentral:rRNA from 1 species
GGUAGUAAAUAGAUAUGUGCUUGAAACUUAAAGAAUUUGGCGGUAUUUAAGUCUGGUUAGAGGAACUUGUGCUGUAAACGAUAAACCCCGAAUAUCUAACUUUACUUUGUUAUUCAGUUUGUAUACCGCCAUUGUUAGAUAAUCUUAAAAGGGCUUGUCUUAAUAGGUUUAUUCUUUGUAUAUUAGGUAUAGGUGCAGCUUAUAAUAAAGGUGGUCAUGAGUUACAUUAUUAUAAAAUAUAUGAUGAAUACUGUUGUUUGAAUGAACUGGUUGAAGGUGGAUUUAAUUGUAAGGUUUGCUUAUUAAGCUUUCUUGAUUAUAGCUCUUGAAUAUGUACA